rnacentral:rRNA from 1 species
AUUGAACGCUGGCGGCAGGCCUAACACAUGCAAGUCGAACGAGUGGCGGACGGGUGAGUAAUAUAUGGGAACGUGCCUAGUAGCGGGGGAUAACUACUGGAAAGAGUGGCUAAUACCGCAUACUAUCGGAGCGGCCGAUAUCGGAUUAGCUAGUUGGUGGGGUAAAGGCUCACCAAGGCCACGAUCCCUAGCUGGUUUGAGAGGAUGACCAGCCACACUGGGACUGAGACACGGCCCAGACUCCUACGGGAGGCAGCAGUGGGGAAUAUUGGACAAUGGGGGAAACCCUGAUCCAGCCAUCCCGCGUGUAUGAAGAAGGCCCUAGGGUUGUAAAGUACUUUCAGUGGGGAGGCGUUACCCGCAGAAGAAGCACCGGCUAACUCCGUGCCAGCAGCCGCGGUAAUAC